AAAGCGUACGUAGGCGGCUAUUCAAGUCAGAGGUGAAAGCCUGGAGCUCAACUCCAGAACUGCCUUUGAAACUAGGUAGCUUGAACACGGGAGAGGUGAGUGGAAUUCCGAGUGUAGAGGUGAAAUUCGUAGAUAUUCGGAAGAACACCAGUGGCGAAGGCGGCUCACUGGACCGUUGUUGACGCUGAGGUACGAAAGCGUGGGGAGCAAACAGGAUUAGAUACCCCGGU
rnacentral:rRNA from 1 species